AAUUAACAAAUAUAACGAUUAAAAAAAAAGGGUCGAACGAAAUAAAAAAUAAAAAACGCCCGUAAGGCCGUAACACAAAAAGCAAUGCGGCCACCACCGGAAUCGUCGUCCGCCGGCGCCGCGCGCUCCGUCGAUCACAACCGCACUUCUCCUCCUCCCAAUCGACGCGCGACAGUCUCCGAUUUCGAACUCGAUGAUAACGAAGCUGAAGAAGAAGAAGAAAACGGCGAAGAUAAUGACGAUGGCGUGGAAGAAGAAGAAGAAUACGAAGAGAUAGAAGUAGAAGAAUACGAAGAGAUUAUAGAAGAGAUUGAAGUCGAAGUUGACGACGACGACGAUGAAGAAGAAGAAGAAGUAGAAGAAGAUGAUGAAGAAGAAGAUCAACCGUUGGAUUCAACAAAAGAAUUUGAUCAGAAAUCAAACGAUGUUAGUCAACACAUGGAGUUUGUGGGGGAGGAAAUCCAACUGAAUUCACAUUCUACUCUUGGGAAAUCAGAGCUGAGGCUUCCAUCUAGCUCUCUUCUAGAAAAUCAUGUUGAUAGUUCCAAAGUUUCUGGUCCUUCAUGUGAACCAAUAAUGAUGCAGGAGGAAUCAUUUGUAAACUAUCCUGAGGCGAGAUCAGGAGAUCACUCGAUGAAUGAUGAUUCUCGAGUUAUGCUUAUGAACAACUUUAAAAGAAACAACGAACCCAAUUGUGAUGGAAAAUCUCCGAUUUCUAAUAGUCACGUUAUGGCUGCUGAGACCAGCAGUCCAAUUAAUAUCACGAAAAAUGAGGUAUCUGAUGCCUUAGUUAUGAAAGUGGGCAUAAAUAUGGAAGCCAAUGGUAUUCUAGAUAUGAAUGAAGAAGAUGAGGCAACGGAAAUGCAACCAGAAGAUGACAAAAAGCUAUCUGUGUCAAGGACACGAAGUCUUUCUCCUUCCCCUGACUUGAAGGAUUCAAAUAAACGGCCAGCAGUUAUAUGUGAUUUUUUUGCCAAAGGAUGGUGCAUUAAAGGGAGUUCAUGUAGGUUUCUUCAUGUAAACAAUAAAGCGGAUAACGCUGAAGAACAGCUUGAGGGAGAGACAGCUGCCACAAGUAUCUCGAAAGGAUACCAGUUCAAUGAAGGUUUGAGAAACACUGAGGAAAAUCCAAAGCUGCCUGGUUUCCUUAAUCUAAAGGCUUCUUCCAUUCAUUUCUCUACAGAAAAGAACUUGGAACCUCAGAAUGGAGACACCCAAAGGUUUCAGCCAUUGGAUGACAAACAUGCAUCUUUAUCUCUUAAGAGAUGUCUCCAACCUGUCACCCAUCAAUUUUCUUCAUCCAAAGAUGAUCUGGGAUUUUCUUUUUCUUUGAAGGAUUUAGCUACAGAGAACAUAGGAAGAGCUGAAUAUGGGAGCUAUGUUUUUCCAAUUAGUAAUGGUAGCUCUGCUUCAUUUCAGAACAGCUUACUUCCUGAACAUAGAUCUUCUUCUAGUGGCUCAGCUGCAACAUCGGGCAAUUACCGCAGUGGUAAUCCCUCUUCAUUUUUAAAUACUUUGAAUACUUCAAUGUAUAUUAGAGGUCACUAUACGCAAGCUUCAAUCCUGGAUAAUUCUAUUUCUAGUACGCAUCACAUCUCUUCAAGGAUAGGACCAUCAUUUGCUUGUAGUUCCUCUUUGAAUUCAAGUCCUUUUGGUCAAAAACUGUUUGACAAUGAUAGGGCCUACUCUAGACCAUCUUCGUUGCUGCAAAGUGCUUCCCCGCUUUUGGGUUCUGGGCGAGAAAAUUUACAUGUAACCAGUAUAUCUGGGGAUCCAUUGUUCUGUGCUGAACAUAAAGCAAAAAAUUCUUCAAGUCACUGGGAACCGUCUAUACCUUUCCGACCAUCUUUUUUUAUAACUCCAAUACCAGCAUCAUCUCCAGGAAGCCUGUAUGACCCUCUUCACGAUAGUAUUGAUUUACCCAGUACUGGAUACAGACUUCCGUUCAAGUUUUCUUUUGUUAGCCAAGGGACAUCCAGUCGCAAUACGUCGAAGCAACUCGCAUAUGGCAACUCAUUAGUAAAUCAGGUCCUCAACCCAGAAUGCAACAACGACAAACAUAAAGAGUCCAUUCAUAGUGAAUUCCAAGAAAAUGUGGAGGACAAUAAUCACUGUACACUCAGAAAAGAUAUAAUUGUUACUGGAGCAGUGACAGGAGGAUCUUGUGUUGUAGAUGGGAAAAAGAGGACCAUGCCCAAGGAAGAAAAUGCUUCUAGCACUAGUCAUUUCAGGGACAUUCCAAGUACUAGCAAAAUUGAUGCUGAUUGUGAUUCUAGGAACCAAAAUGAUGGGCCAAAACGCAAAAAAGAUGUCAAGGUAGAUAGGGGUAGGCAAAUUAAUGAUAUGGAAGUCGACCAAAAGAUAGAUGGAGAAUCAAGAGCUUUGAAACAUUUUCGUGUAGCUACCAUUGAUUUUGUUAAAGAAUUAUUAAAACCAACCUGGCGUGAGGGUCAUCUCAGCAAGGAUGCACAUAACACAAUAGUUAAAAAAGCAGUUGACAAGAUUCUGAGCACCUUGCCACCCCAUCAAAUUCCAAGCACAGUGGAAUUGUCUAAGCAAUACCUUUUUUUCUCCCAACCUAAAAUUGCAAAGCUUGUUGAGGCAUAUUGUGUAAAGUAUGGAAAAUCUUGACACGCCAGGCGAAGACAUGUUCCCUUUCUUAGUGUAUUGUACAGUUCUCCUAUGCAUUCUUGUGUUUGGAGUCUUUAGACGCAACAGUAUGUCUGAGGCUCAUUUUACAUUGUUAGAAUUGAGACUCUGGUGGAAUGUCAGGUCAUGAAUUUCGACGUAAUAAUAUUUUAGUGGAUGGCCGUGUUCCCCUCUUCAUGUCUGGUCCUUUUGGAAUAAGUCAUGAAGUUUAGAUCUGCAUUUAGUUUUAUAGCAUUGUCUUAGAAGUAUAGAUGCUUAACUCAACAGAAUUACUAAUUAUAAGCCUUGAUGUUGCAGUAACGUGCAUUUAUAAGUUUAGUCUAGUUCUGAAUUUGUUUUUUCUUAGCCUCUCUCAGGCCUGCUUGGUGCAUUGUUUUUUUUUUAUAUAUAUAUUUGAGAGAAAAAACACAAGGGAUCCAAAUUCAAGUGCGUGUUGUUCAGCAGUUCUUUUCAAAGGGUUUGACUAUGUUGUUUUCUCAUGUGGGCCUGGAAUGCCUCUAUGCUUAUGUGUUUCAAAUACUUACAAACUUACUCCUUGAAGACAACAAUACGAGGGGUUGAUGGAGAGUUGGUGCAUAUUGCAUGUAUAUGACGCAGUUGGACAUGAGGACAUGAGGAGAUAUUUAUGAAGCAAGGUACUACUUUUCUUUUGCAUAUGACUUAAUUUUGAGAAAAUACAGUUCAGAAUUCUUUCCAUCAAGAUUGACCAGGUUUUCAACCAUGAAAGUUCAGGAUUUGAAACCACUAGAGAUAAGGAUUCAGCUUCAUAAGUUGGCCCCAUCAGUAAUAUGAAUCAUCAACCCAUCACAUCUCAUCCAUUCAAGUGUUAGAAAGGUUUCUUUGAGAAUGGUUACGAUGAAGGUGAGGUGUUGAACCUCAUUUAAGUGUUCCUGGUUAAUUCUGGAUUCAAACAUGGUGAUCCCAUUUUACCUUCUUUCUGCAUCCUUAAACCUGUGAUAUCCCGGGGGGGAGGGAUGGUGUGGGGGCAGUCAUAACAGAGGGAGAGGGGGUUCAAUACAGUCUGACAGCAAAAUGUCAUUGGUUCUUGAGGGGGUCACUAGAGGGUUCGUGGGUAAAAAAACUCACUGCCGGAGAGAAGAAACAUAAAAUAUGAUGCAAAGAAGAAUGGUUGGAAACAGAAAAAAUAGCAACAAGCAUUCAUAGUAUUGUGAAUUAUUAUUAUCCCCUUGACGGCUGAGAUAGAGGUUAGAAUCUGGUCAUGUUUCAUUCUCGUUUUUAAUCUGUAUUGUAUUCGAGUGUUCUUCCUCAACCCAAACUUUCUGAUGCUGGUAACAGCCUUCCCAUAAUCUGAUUUGUACUCAUACAAUUAAAGGAUUAUAAGAUGAUACAACUUUGUGUUAA